ACUCCUACGGGAGGCAGCAGUGGGAAUAUUGGACAAUGGGGGAACCCGUAGCUCCAGCCAUGCCGCGUGUGUGAAAGAAAGGCCUUCGGGUUGUAAAAGCACUUUCAGUGGGGAGGAAAGGUUGUUGGUUAAUAACCUAACAGCUGUGACGUUACCCACAGAAGAAGCACCGGCUAACUCCGUGCCAGCAGCCGCGGUAAUACGGAGGGUGCAAGCGUUAAUCGGAAUUACUGGGCGUAAAGCGUGCGC
rnacentral:rRNA from 1 species